GAUGAACGCUGGCGGCGUGCUUAACACAUGCAAGUCGAACGAUGAAGCCCAGCUUGCUGGGUGGAUUAGUGGCGAACGGGUGAGUAACACGUGAGUAACCUGCCCUUGACUCUAGGAUAAGCCCGGGAAACUGGGUCUAAUACUGGAUAGGAACGUCUACCGCAUGGUGGGUGUUGGAAAGAAUUUCGGUCAUGGAUGGACUCGCGGCCUAUCAGCUUGUUGGUGAGGUAAUGGCUCACCAAGGCGACGACGGGUAGCCGGCCUGAGAGGGUGACCGGCCACACUGGGACUGGGACACGGCCCAGACUCCUACGGGAGGCAGCAGUGGGGAAUAUUGCACAAUGGGCGAAAGCCUGAUGCAGCGACGCCGCGUGAGGGAUGACGGCCUUCGGGUUGUAAACCUCUUUCAGUAGGGAAGAAGCGAAAGUGACGGUACCUGCAGAAGAAGCACCGGCUAACUACGUG
rnacentral:rRNA from 1 species